UACGUAGGGCGCAAGCGUUGUCCGGAAUUAUUGGGCGUAAAGAGCUCGUAGGCGGCCAGUUGCGUCCGCUGUGAAAUCCCGGGGGCUUAACCCCGGGCGUGCAGUGGAUACGGGCUGGCUGGAGGCAGGCAGGGGAGAACGGAAUUCCUGGUGGUAGCGGUGAAAUGCGCAGAUAUCAGGAGGAACACCGGUGGCGAAGGCGGUUCUCUGGGCCUGUACUGACGCUGGAGGAGCGAAAGCGUGGGGAGCGAACAGG
rnacentral:rRNA from 1 species